rnacentral:rRNA from 1 species
ACUCCUGCGGGAGGCAGCAGUGGGGAAUAUUGGACAAUGGGCGCAAGCCUGAUCCAGCCAUGCCGCGUGAGUGAUGAAGGCCCUAGGGUUGUAAAGCUCUUUCACCGGUGAAGAUAAUGACGGUAACCGGAGAAGAAGCCCCGGCUAACUUCGUGCCAGCAGCCGCGGUAAUACGAAGGGGGCUAGCGUUGUUCGGAUUUACUGGGCGUAAAGCGCACGUAGGCGGACUAUUAAGUCAGGGGUGAAAUCCCGGGGCUCAACCCCGGAACUGCCUUUGAUACUGGUAGUCUUGAGUUCGAGAGAGGUGAGUGGAAUUCCGAGUGUAGAGGUGAAAUUCGUAGAUAUUCGGAGGAACACCAGUGGCGAAGGCGGCUCACUGGCUCGAUACUGACGCUGAGGUGCGAAAGCGUGGGGAGCAAACAGGAUUAGAAACCCCAGUAGUCC